rnacentral:rRNA from 1 species
AGCGACGCCNCGUGCGGGAUGAAGGCCUUCGGGUUGUAAACCGCUUUCAGUAGGGAAGAAGCGAAAGUGACGGUACCUACAAAAGAAGCACCGGCUAACUAUGUGCCAGCAGCCGCGGUAAUACAUAGGGUGCAAGCGUUGUCCGGAAUUAUUGGGCGUAAAGAGCUCGUAGGUCGUUUGUUACGUCGGAUGUGAAAACCUGAGGCUCAACCUCAGGCCUGCAUUCGAUACGGGCAAACUAGAGUUUGGUAGGGGAGACUGGAAUUCCUGGUGUAGCGGUGGAAUGCGCANAUAUCANGAGGAACACCAAUGGCGAAGCAGGUCUCUGGGCCAAUACUGACACUGAGGAGCGAAAGUCUGGGGAGCGAACAGGAUUAAAUACCCUGGUAGUCCAAACCGUAAACNGUGGGCACUUAGUUGUGGGGAACCUUUCACCGGUUUCUUGCGACNCAACUUACGCCAUUAAGUGGCCCCCNCUUGGGGAAGUACCAAUCGCCAGGAAUAAAACNUAAAGGAAUUGAC